AUGAUCGAGCGAGCUCGCUCAGUCGGUAAGAGAGUGCACAUCAGCUGAUUUCAUCAAGAUGGCACAUGGUUACGGCACGAUGUGAUGUUAAUCGCGGCUGAGUGGACGUAAAUAACGGUUUUUUAUAUCCGCAAUAUCAUAUAUUUCACCGUGACAGAAUGGCCGCGCAACGUGCAUUACCACAAAACAAGGAGGCUCUAUUGAAAACGUACACGACGCGACUGAAGGACGAUGUGAAGUCGAUGCUCGAAAAUUUCGAAGAGAUAAUUAAACUCGCAAAAGGUGAAAAUGACUCGCAUCUGUCGCGAAUGACGCAAUGCGAGCAGGACACAUACGAGAUGCACGUCAGAGCGGCUAACAUGGUGCGUGCCGGCGAGUCGUUGAUGAAACUAGUCUCCGACAUAAAGCAAUACUUGAUUCUGAACGACUUCCCGUCAGUAAACGACGCGAUCGGGGCGAACAGCACAUUGUUCAGGAGCAAGCAAGCGGAAUGCGACUCCAAGCUAGCCUCAUUGAGGGACGACAUGGCUGCGGAUCUGUACGACUUGGAAGAAGAGUACUACACCUCGAUAUACAAAUAACGAUACCCGUGAUAACGCAACAGUCUGAGAUGCCACGUAGACGAUAAAAGUCUAAAGGGAAAUCAGGGGAAGCGAAAGAAAGAAACAGAAAGGAACGUGAAUGUAAACACGAGAAAAGCCGAUCUUAAAGCAACGUAAUUUCUCUUCUUGUCUGAAGUCUCGCGCGACUCCACGCUUAACUAUCAUCUUGGAACGGCGCUUUAAGAUCCACAAUAAUAAUUUAGAACUCAGGCAGGGUGAAAGCUUACCGAGAAGGGACGGUAUGCUCGUCGUGGAGCCGGUCGUCGAGGACGUUUUGUUAUUGCCGGCGAUGGACUGUUGCUGCUCGACGGAGCUGGAGGUUUCGCCGUCCACGCUGCUGCUCUCGUCUUCGAGGAUCGACGCCUCGCUGGGAUAUUCGAAGGUGCGGGUCGCCGUGUCGUCGAACUGUAUCCGAUGCUGAAAGCACAGAGACAAGCGAUUCGAAUUAGUGGCAUACACGAAUUAGUGGCGAGAACGCGACGCUCGCGAAUUGAUUUAUGCGAAUGUACGCGGCAAUCGCCGCGGGCGCGCCAAAAGUACAUUCGCAUAAGUAAACACGUAUUACGAGGCUUCGCGGCUAAUGUAAGUUCGCCCCUGUGCAUUUAGCGGAACGCGGUUACUUGCGGAAAAAUUUUGCAAGGCGCUUCGAGCGAGCGAGCGUUGCAAACGCGCGCAGCGCAAACGAGAUACGCGGGAGAACAAACAACGGCACAACCGCCAUGUAAUGCAGCCUCGAAUAACAGUAACCGGUCACACUCGCUGGCUUUUCGACUGCGUGAACAAGCCAGGAACGUCGUCUUCGCCCGUCGUGCGAAUUGUCAAAAGAGAAAGCGCCUUUUUCCAUCUGUUAUGCGGCUGAUUAAAUGCCGCAUUCGCCGUGCGUGUCGCACGCAUUCGCAUCGCUACGCAACGAGACCCGCGAAAACGGACACUUCACUCCUCGGCAUUGCGGCUCUAAGUGCAUUACAUACGCAGUGAUACUUGCGCAAGACUCUAUUCUCUUUCCGUAGACUCGAACUUUGCCGAUUAAGAAACAUUUAUACGCCAGAAGAAAGAAUAUUUAUUCGUUGGAUACCAAUGACAUAUUUUUCAGAUGAAGUCUAGAUUUUCUUUAAUCAAUCAAGACGAUUAAGGAACCUUAAAUAAAUAUGUUGUUAGUAUCCGCCGAAUAAAUAUUUUCUACUUUUUACAUACUUGUUCUUUCAAUGUCUACGCGUCUUAACUCAGUUCCGUAUAGUUUCUCUGAGAACUUUUCGAGUCUGUUCGCUCGCCAGGUAAACUGCACGGAAUAUCGCGAUCGUCCUGGUGUAUGCGCACUUAUACGCAUCGCGUAUUCCACGCGGAACGAAAGCCGUUUCGAAUUCGAUGUUGAGCGAAGACGCACUGCGCUGUGCGAUCCGCGAGGAAUCGCACUCGCUACCAGCUAUGUCAGAGCGGCGGUAACAGUACCGGCGAUUAUUUCGACUAGGGGGGUUGACUGCUCGCUCGCUCGCUCGCUCGCUCGGUAUAAUUAUAUGUAUGCACCGUUCUUCCCUCCCGAGGCGUCUUUCGUGAGAGACCAGUCGCGGACAAAAAGGAAAAGUAGCGAAUCAUCGCGGCGGAUCGAUCUCCGAUCGAUCCCGGCAGUGCCGCGUUCCUCCGCGGAAGAAGGCGCGAAAUGCUCAGCGUUCUCGCGUCGACGCGUGUUCUCGCAAAUGUGUCGAAAUGAACAAUAAUCGUCUCGUCGCAACUCCCUCGUGGGACGACUGCGACAAAAAGACCUCUGAAAUGAAUGAGUGAAUGAGCGUGCAGCACCUAAAGAGACGCGAAAAGUUCCUUUGAAGCGGCGGACCGCACUUUCUCUAAAGCGACGGCCCACUUUUCUUCAGCACGAGGACUUCUGGUACUCCUCGCAAAUUGCAAUUAGCAUUUUCUCACCGAGGAACGGGCGAACGCGACAAUAAUCACGGAGCGUUCCGGCCAGUUGGUUAAGUGGCAUUAACAGCAAAGCUGCUUCUUCGGCAGGAAGAACGACGUCAGACUUUCAUUGCGACAGUCAUCCUCUCGCAGGUCCAACGGGCAAGUGGAAGCUCAAUACGCGCGUUAUCAAAAAUCGAGCGCUCACCGCGGAUUAGGUGGUUUAAUAAUACCACUUUAUCAGCUCAAUGGAAGCGAUAACGAAGAAAAAAAAUUGCACACGGAAAUAAAGAAUUAGCUCAACUAAUGUGAAUUAAGUAGACACUAACAGGCAGACCUGCUCACUGAGAAAUGAACGAAACAUAAUUUUGGUUGAAAUAAUCAGACAAAUUUCGUUACACGCGUUUAAAUAGCCUGACAAAUUUGGAGUUACAAUAAUAAAAAAAAAUAUAUAUAUAUUCACAUUUCUUAUCAGAAAUAUUAUUACUUUUUUAACUGAAAGUUGUUUCUUAAGAUAUUGUUAGUAUAUAAUUAUUUUGUUUGAAAUUAGUCAUUCAAUUGAUUCAAUAUGUUAUAUUGCGUUUGAAAAAUUUGCGCUAUAUCAUUUCUUUAAUUGAUAGAUCUGUUGUCUACUUGUAUUGUAAGCAGCGUUGAAUGCCAGAAUGCGUCAUCGUAAUAACCAGAAAUUCUGUUUAGUUCAGCCAACAGUCGUUUCAUCAAACAUAUCACGAUAAUCUAAGUAGCUCUUUUUUCGCGCUUAAUCAUAAUAACAAGGCACACACUAAUCCUAUCAUGUUAUUGUUUUUGACUUGAUUGAUAAAGUAUAUCAUAUAUAGUUAAUCAGUUUAAUGUUCAUGAUUUCUAAUUGCGUCACGUUGACUCUGUUGAAGAAAAAGAAAAAUAGUACAGACGACGUAACGGGCGAAUAUAACGAAACGACGAGCGAUUCUCGUUUUGCUUGACUACAUGUCUUCUGUAUCAAGCACUUCCCUCGAUCGCCGUGCAAAAAGCGUUAUACUUUUCUGACGGCCCAAGAGAAGCUCGCGGGACGACUUCGUCAGCCGUUUUCUCUCCUCUAAUUCGCGAUCCAAGAUGCACCGCUCGUGGCAAGACGAGUCGGGAAAAUCGAGUCGACGGAGACAGACUUUCCACGACAUAGUCGGAGCGUGGAAGUGACUAUUGUCGGUAAACACGACGAUUGGUUAUAUACAGGAGCGAAUAUGUACACGUAUCAAGAUGGAAAGUCCUGUGCUGUUCCACGCGAUAAGACCGGGGAAUGCAGUGAGCGUACGAUGCGCGUAAUCGGCGCUCCAGGAGAUGUAUGCGAAGCCGCCGAGGCGACCUGCGUCCAUUGGCCGCCCUUGUAUUGAUUUUUUACGAGAAGAAUAUACACAGUGAACUGUCGGCGAUCGACGAAGCGUGUACUCUCGCCCUGUCGUCGCCAGCCGUACCUCAACCCUUUCGCCGACGCGGGAUCGCACCCCUCUUUCGAGGGAAGUUUGCGUCCGGUAAUGAGAGAGCAAACAUUAUAUCGUUCUGUCAGUACACGUUCUACAAAAAAUAUAGGAUAUUAGCAUAUGUAUAAAUAUACGAUAAUAAACAAUUAAAUUAAA